UUUCUAGCUCUAAGUGUAAGACCCCCUUUCGGGGACCCCCACUCUAGUCCCGGGAGAGAGAGUGCACCCAAAGAAACACGAGAAUCC
rnacentral:pre_miRNA from 7 species